ensembl:lncRNA
CAGGCUUAACGGUUCCAAGCCCUAGAGUGUUUCUUCCUCACUCUCUCAUUGCAUUUAUCCAUCAUUUCCUCAUUUCUCUUCUCUAGAAGCUACCCCAACUCUCCUUGACUCACCAUGUCAGCUUUGCCCAAGGAUCCAAGAGGGCAAAGGGGACUUUGUUCAUGGGAAGCAAGCAGAUGGCCAGCUUCCAGCCCCCCAGGAGGACUGGAGGGACGCCACCUGCUCACCCCCAAUGGGUCUAAUUAGAGCAGAUGCUUUGCCUGCUCCAGAUCCGACUGACCCAAAGAGGCAGCCCCCUCUCUCAGGAGCAACCCUCAGACCCCAGGACUCUCGGAAACACAGAUUGAAAAGCUUUGCUCUGGCUGGAGAGAAACCACUCUGAAGAUGGGAAGACUGAGGACCAGAGAGGGGAAGUGACAUCCCUGGAGUCACCCAGGAAAUCAGCAGGGACUCAGAGUUGGAGGCCAGACCUCCUCCCUCACAGUCCAAUACACGUUCCCGCCUCACCACCUUAUAUGUCAAAUUUUGCAUGAUUCCCUUGGAGACCCCUGAAUAAAACGUACCGUCAUAUCCAAAGGAGGGGCCCCAUCUCAAGCUCAUUUCGCAUUCCGCGUCCGUGGGAGCUCAUUAGAAUUCUGAUUAUAAUGCUGGAAUCAUUUUUAUUUCCAAGCUUCAGUCAUUUCGUAUCAGGUGGGCAUUAGUCAACAGAGACCUAAAAGAAGUUGUAAGCAAAUCAUCACAGAAAGGAAACUUCUCCCCUACAUACACACACACACACACACACACACACACACACGCACACACACACACAUGCACAAGCACACACAUCUUUCUUUCAUUAGCUUUAAUUAAGUUGACCCAGAUUGAUCUGGAAAAUUUUCCAGACCCAGAAUGAGUUUCUCCUUUAUGAUUGUGAAAAUCAUGAGGUUUUCAGAGAAUGGGACCCUAGAGACAAAUCAAAUGAGAGGUAGCUUCUGGGUAGACAAAGACCUUGAUAAAAUGAGAGACAACAGCCAAGGCCAGUACUGUCACAUCACAGAAGCAUGCCAUUUGGAUCCCCUUUCUGUGCCUCCUUAGCUGUGUUACCUUGGGUGACUUACUCGCCUUCUCUGAGCCUCUACUUCCAAUCUUGCAUACGUGCCCCUCUCACAGUUCCUUCUCUGCUAAGUAGCCAGGAGAUUUUUCCAAAACGUAAGUCAAUCCAGGCAACUGUCUGAUUAAAAGCCUUCAAUAUCUUCCCAUUUAACUUAGAAUAAAACCCACACUCCACAAUGUGUCCAACGAGGACGUCCACAAACUGACUUUUGCCUUAUAUAGGUUGUAGGUUAGGGUCGUGCUUGGCUAUGUGUAACAGAAACUUAAGCAUAUUUGUGUAACCAAACAGGGGGAUAUUAUUCUCACAUGACAAGAAGUCCAGGAGUGGUCCAGAGAAGCUCAAAAUGCCCUUGGAGACCCAGGCUCCUUCUAGCUUCCUGCUCAGCCAUCCUCAGAAAAUAGGAAGCCUCAUGGUCACAAAACGGCUGCCCUACCUCUCGGCUUUGUGUCCAAGUUCCAGGCAAGAAGAAGGGGAAAAAGCAAGGAAGAAAAAGCACAUGCUAGUUGGGUCUGUCCCUUUUUACUCAAGAAAGUGAUAACUUUUCUUUAGAUUGCCAUUUACAAGUCAUUGGCUAGAACGAGGUCGUAUCACCAAUGGUAGUUUCAAGGGAUUCUGGGAGCCAAGUCCUCUUCCAUCGGCACUUCUCCUCCUCAACAAAAUCAGGCUUUAUUGAUUAGGAAGAAAGGGGGUUA